CCUACGGGCGGCAGCAGUGGGGAAUAUUGCACAAUGGGGGAAACCCUUAUCCAGCGACGCCGCGUGAGUGAAGAAGGUUUUCGGAUUGUAAACCUCUGUCAGUGGGGACGAUAAUGACGGUACCCACGGCGGAAGCCACGGCUAACUACGUGCCAGCAGCCGCGGUAAUACGUAGGUGGCAAGCGUUGUCCGGAAUUACUGGGUGUAAAGGGAGUGUAGGCGGGAUGUCAAGUCAGAAGUGAAAAUUAUGGGCUCAACCCAUAACCUGCUUUUGAAACUGAUAGUCUUGAGUGAAGUAGAGGGAGGCGGAAUUCCAGGUGUAGCGGUGAAAUGCGUAGAGAUUAGGAGGAAUACCGGUGGCGAAGGCGACCUCCUGGGCAAAGACUGACGCUGAGGUGCGAAAGCGUGGGGAGCAAACAGGAUUAGAUACCCGGGUAGUC
rnacentral:rRNA from 1 species